ensembl:lncRNA
CUCAGCCCGUCUCGUUGCAAGGCGUUGCAAGGAGUUGCGAGGUGAAUCUUGCAACGGCUUGCAACGAGACGGUUUUAGAACGUCGCAGGGGCGGUGUGAACGGGUCGUUGCAAGCCGUUGCAAGGAGUUGCAAGGCGUUGCAAGGAGUCGCCAGAGAUUGAACAUGUCAAAUCGCAAGGUCCUGUUUUAGAACGCGGCGAUUUAACUAUUCCUCUUCAGCCAAUCACAGCACAGAACAACUUGUACGUCACGGCCUUACUCCGUCCCGGUACCGUACUGUCCACUCCAGCGUAAAAAGAUCCGAAGAUGGCAGACUUCUGGUCCGAGGAGAGGGAGGAGAAAUUAAUUCGGUUGCUGGAGGAUCAACCUGUCCUAUACGACGUUGGCAGCAAGGGGUACAGCAACAGGGACAGCAAGAGGAGAGCGUGUUGUGACAUUGCGGUGGCAACUGGUGUAUCCGAUUGUUGAAAGAGAGAGUGAUCUUGUGGAGGGACUGGACGAGGAAGAGGACGUGGAAGUAGAGGAGAGCAGUGAACCUGAGGGACAAGGCAGCACCUGCCUCGUCCCUCAGGUUCAGAAGGUCGCAGGCAGUAAAAGAAAGAGGCAAACAGAAAAGCAAGAAGAUGAGGUCCUAAGUGCCGUUGGCAAUUUUCUGAGACACAGGAUGGAACAGAGGGAGGAGGACACAAUGUCAAUCUUUUGUAAGAACCUCGAGAUGAAAAUGAGGCGAAUCAAGGACCCAAAUAUUUUAUUAGAUUUAGAGCACCAGCUGGAGGAAGCCUGCUACCAGGCUUCACUUAAAGAUAGAGACAACCAAGCCCCCCAAGGCACAGAAAGGAAAGGUAAUCCCUAAUAGUCACAUCACUCUAAAAUAUCUCUGUGACGUCAUCGAACACAAAUGGGCGACGUUUUAUUUGUGAUGCAAUGGUCUUCCAUCCCAGCUACAUCACCAUGUGAUCGCUUACACCAUGAUGAGAUGGAAAUGAUCCUCGAAACACGUUAUUUAUUGAACAGGAUAACUUACUGCUCAGCAUUGAUGCGAUUUAUACAAGCCAAGAAAUAAUAUAUUUUUUAAAUUGUAUUGAUGUAGAAUAGUAAUUUCAGAUCAUAAAUAUCAAGGGCUUUAACCAUUUGAAUUGGUGAUGAUAAAAUAGAAAGGUUGUUCUGCGUUAUAGCUCGAUUUUGCAAUCGGUACAGGUUAUUUGCCAAAUCUACAUCAGUUCUGUUGGUUUCCAAAUAAAACUCUAAACUCAUCCAA